rnacentral:rRNA from 1 species
UACGUAGGGUGCGAGCGUUAAUCGGAAUUACUGGGCGUAGAGCGUGCGCAGGCGGUUUUGUAAGCCAGAUGUGAAAUCCCCGGGCUUAACCUGGGAAUGGCAUUUGGGACUGCAAGGCUGGAGUGUGGCAGAGGAGACUGGAAUUCCUGGUGUAGCAGUGAAAUGCGUAGAUAUCAGGAGGAAUACCGGUGGCGAAGGCGGGUCUCUGGGCCGAUACUGACGCUGAGGAGCGAAAGCGUGGGGAGCGAACAGG